GGGGUUGUGGCUCAGGGGUAAGGUGCUCACCUAGAGUGUGUGAGACACUGGGUUUGAUUCUCAGCACCACA
rnacentral:tRNA from 1 species